AUUAAGGGUAAUGAUUUGUGAGCAUGUGAACAAGGAAGCGGUGGUCCCUGUGGGCUGGGGCAGUGCCACCUCUUAUUUCCGCGACUCAAGUGGCCCCAGUCUCUAGGGCGUAAGCGUCUCUGGAGUUGGGCAGCUGUGGGGUGGUAAGAACGAACGACACCUGCGUGUCCGGGGCGUGGGUCUGAUCCCCGCCCUGCCUCUGUGAUGAAGACCUUGGGCACCUCACCUCAGCUUUCUGAGUUUGUCCAUCUGUAAAAUGAGCGAGAGGCCUUCCGUCACGCGUGUGAAAGCGCCCCGCGGUGCCGGGCAGCAAGGCCGGCGCUGGACCGACUUCUGGUAAGGGAAGGAGGCUGAACGUGACGCCUGGGGGCCACCGGGGCAGGGAGAGGGCGCCGGUCCUGGAUAAGAACGCAGACUACGGCUCAGUUCCUUCCCCUGCCACGCAGCUGUGCCAGCCCUGGCGCCACCUCGUGACUUGGCGUGAAUGUCGCCCCAGCCAGGGCCCAGCGGCUCCUCUGAGGCUCCCUCCGCAUCGACGUCUCCGGCAGAGAGGAGACAUUAAUCAUUAAUCGCCAGUUGUAUCAUGUGGCUUUUCCUUUCUACUUUCCAAACCCUGUGGAAUUUCUCAGUUUCUGAUUCCUGCUGGCAAGUGUCUCUGCCUUCUCAUGGAAUGCCUAAGUCAGAGAGGCUUUGUGGAGCCCACUUGGACCUGGAGAAUGCCACUUUAUCCCAAACACACCUUCUUGUUUGUGGGUGAUGGUCCCUACCAAAGCUUUGGGCAGCAGCCAGAACCCAUGAAGCUAUGUAGCAUGGAUACAUAGCGGACUGUGGCCAGAGGAGUGCUGAAUCAGGAGACCUCAGAUCUAGUGACUGCCUGCCCCCUCCUGCUGGAACAAAUCCACUUCUCCAAGCUUGUUUCCUCCUGGGUAAAACACAGCAGUAGAGUUGUCACACCUGUGCUUCUCACCUCAUCGGGUGGUUGUGAAAGCCAACAGGAGUCACUGCAUGGGCUGGAUGCCAUGUCUGCCAAAGUGGAAAUGUCGACGAAGGAGACCAGUCUCUACCCUCAGAUUAAGUCAACGGUGAACAGGGCAACAGACACUCAUUAUGCACCUGACAGAGGAGUGGGAGGUGCCACCAAUGGGGCCAUGUCACCCUACAGUAGAACUGAAACCAGGGCCAUAUAAAAGCCAGGAGUGUGUAGAUGAUUGACAGGUAACUCAAGCCAACCAGACUGCAAUUCUUGCCCACUGGCUGUGUGACUUUGGGUGAAUUACUUACCCAUGCUGUGCCUGACCUGUGCCUCACUGAGGUGUCAUAAGGAACUCAUGAAUGAGAGCACGCAAAGUGCUUAGCACAGCUCUAGGGCAGGGCAAGUGCUAAGUGAGCAUCAGCUAGGCUCGUUGUUAUCAUUCUGUCUUUAAUUCAUUUAACAAAUAUGUACAAAGCUGAAUGGGGCAUGGGGACAAAAUACACCAGUAAACAAAAAGAACGGAAAGACCGGCUCUCAUGGCACUCACAUUCUGGAAGG